ensembl:lncRNA
AUCCAUCCAGCAUCUUCUCGCGCAGUCUUCUUCGACCCGCUGCCACAGUCCCGGCGCCCCAGGCCCUGCGCAGAUGAAGACCUUCCCUCGGACGGCUUUGCGGGCCCUGCCUCAGCCGGCGCCCCCUUCUCUCCUGCAGGACCCGGACCCGCGCUGCAGGGGCUGAGUGCCCCCUGGGUCGGUGUCUGAGUCUUGCCUCCCCGUAGGCUCAGUACCUGGCACGUGUCCAAGGCUCAGCAGCUGUACCACAACCACCCAACAGGAGAGAAGGAAAGGAGAGGUGCACCCCGGGGAUGUGGUGAGGCCAUCCCGUCAUGGGGAAUCAGAAAAGGACUGCGUCUUAGCCAGCCAGCUGGGGGAAGAGGAGGCAGCACCGGGCAGAGGGGCCCUUGAGAGAUGUCACCAUCCUGUUAAGAAAGGGCUGGACCACAGCACUGCAGAGAUGAGUCCACGGUGUGCAGAGGCCGUCGUGGAAGUUGUCGUGUCAGCAGCGCUGUAGACCGCAGUGUCCUUGAGGUGAGAGCUCUGGUCCAUCCUCUGGAGUGUUGGGGCCUCACAGUAGUCACGUGCGUUCUCAGGGCCCUGGGUGCAGAUGGAGGGGAGCUGAGAGGUGAGAUGAAGGCAGCACCCACGAGUCCCAGAUCUGCUCACCACCUCAGCCCCAAGCAACCUUGAUCACCCCUGCACGUGUCUUCAGUGGCCGCCGGGGGUGGGCCUCGUGUCCCACUUGGGUACUGGGAGCUCCGGUUCAGGAGUGUCUGCCCUCCGUCCCUCAAGCGUGGGCAGAGCAUAUUGGGAUGGAAAGUGGGUGGACCAGAGAUGCUUUCCCUCUGAGUUUGAUGCCCCUUUUGCCGCCAUCUCAGUUUGCGACCUUGUCUUCUUCAUUUGAAAAUCCAAGCUAUGACAGAGAUGAUUUUGUGGUACUUAGGACCACAAAAUGCCUAUAAUUUCCAGCCAUGAUAUUUCCUCACUGUUUUUGCCCAAAGUGACUCCUCUUUGAUUCCCUUUGGCAGGGAGGUCCUGUUGGGCUUUCACAGGAAAGACUGGCCACCCCUGGGCUUCUGUGCUUGGCCGAGUCUUUUUGCUAGACUCAGUGUAUCCUCUAGGCCACUGGCACCUGCUCAUCUUCGUAGAUCUCUCUCUGCCUUGCGUGCACCUGCAUUCAAAAGUGACCACGGGCUGGCCGUGCUCUGGUCGUUGAUAAUGCAGGGAGAGGAAUUGUGGAAAGCAGUUUCCCGAAUUUGGAGGGUCCACACCUGUCCCUUUCAAAUGCUGGCGCUUUCACACACUCCUGCUUCUCUCCAGCCCAUGCUUUCUGCACUCAGGCACUGGGAGCUGCGUGUGACAGGCAGUGACAGGAGACUUCCAAGCCUAAGCUUCCUGUUAUCAGAGCCAGGCUGUGUCGUGUCGUGUUGAGAUACUUUAGGGGGUGUAAGGAGCCAGGAUGAAUUACGCAUAAUGAAUAAGUAUGGUGUUGGGGGGGUACAUAGUGAUUGGCAUAAGACUUUCUAGGGGAAGCAGCUCUUUGGAGGUGGUGGACUGGGCAGGCCUUUGAAGGGGCGGGUGUCAUAGGCAACAGGAAGGGCUUCGAGGGGAGGGGAGGCACACAAGGGUGACUUGAGGCAGGGGUGAGCACGAGCACCGGGGAGUCAGGUGCACAGAUAAGUGAUGGCUCUGGGAAGCGGGGGACGGCUGCUGGGGUGGUGGGCUGAACAGUAGGAGAGAACAAGCUCUCCAGCCAUCUCUCUGCCAAUUCCCUUUACUCUGUCACCCUGAGAAGACCCAUUUUUCCAAGACAGUGUUCAUUCUGACUCUUCUCUGGGAGCAUUGAGAUUCCUUUUUGAGCCAAGUUUGGUGUGGAAAAAAACACUGCAGCUCAUCUCUGACUAAUUGGGGACGCUUUCAUGGAUGUCACCUUAAAGAAAGAUGAGGUAAUACUGGAAUUCCCUUUGUGACUCAGCGGAAAUGAACCCGACUCGUAUCCAUGAGGAUGCGGGUUUGAUCCCUGGCCUGGCUCAGUGGGUUAAGGAUCUGGCAUUGCCAUGAGCUGUGGUGUAGGUCGCAGAUGCAGCUUGGAUCCUGCGUUGCUGUAGCCUAGGAUGGCAGCUACAGCUCUGAUUCAAUCCCUACCCUGAGAACUUCCAUAUCCUGUGGGUGCGGCCCUAAAAAGAGAAAAGAAAAAAAAAUAGAUGAGGUAAUAUUGGGGAGCAAACUCUUGUCAUGCCCUCCUGGUCUGUGGCCUCCUCGUUGCUCUAGGGGUGCUGCUUUGGAAGAAGCCUCGGGGGUCAGAACCACUCGCCCUCUCAAGGUGAGGACCUGAGUCCCAGCUCCCCCGGAGGGUCCUCCUCAUGGUAUUUAGGGGCUGACCGCGGACACUGGCGUAGCAGCGUGAAGCAGGAUGUUGUCGCAUGACCAUCGCCAAACCUUUCUCUUCUGUUGCCUCAGCACAGCGUGGAAGGACUCUGCCCUCUGUGUGAACAGGGCAGAGGGGAAGUUCUGGGGCUCCAGGGACUUGGGGUUCAGAGCUGGAGACCUUCUACUGGCUCCCAGCAGGUGCCUCAGAACACUGCUGACCAGGAAGACUGUCUCUUCCCAUCUGGACCAGGUCAUCCCGUGGCUUCUGUGUUUCCCAUUUGCUCCUAGUAUAACUUUUUAGAACCAGGAGUUCCUGUUGGAGUCUUGUGUGCCAUGCAUCUUAUCUUCUCACCCACUUAAAUAAAUCUCGAAACUGCC